rnacentral:lncRNA from 1 species
AGACUUCAUAGAUCCACAGGGAGCUCUCCUCUGAUUUUUCCUGAUAGUACGGUUUUGUCCCAUCCUUCUAUUUAAGCAUCUGAGAUUCAGCAUAAUUAACAGCUGCUGCCACCAUCAUGUCCAGGAGAGAAGAACCAGAGGGACUAAAAGAAGUCAGCUCAUGUCAAAAAAAAAAAGAAACCCCAAACAACCAAAUCAAAAUGGGCAGAAGAUCUAAAUAUGCAUCUCUUAAAGAAGACAUACAGAUGGACAAAAACAAAAAACAAAAAUAAAACAUGAGAAGAUGCUCAACAUCACUAAUUAUUAGAGAAAUGCAAAUCAAAACUACUAUAAGUUACCACCUUACAUCAGAAUGGCCAUCAUCAAAAAUUCUACAAGCAAUAAAUGCUGGAGAAGAUGCGUAGAAAAAGGUUCUGCCUAACCCUCUUACCUUAAUGGUGGGAAUGUAAAUUGGUGCAACCACUAUGGGAAACAGUAGGGAAGUUCCUCAAAAAACUAAAAAUAGAACUACCAUAGGAUCCAGCAACCCACGCCUAGGCAUCGAUGUAGAAAACCUUAAUCUGAAAAGAUACAUGCACUGCAAUGUUUCUUGCCGCACUGUUUACAACAGCCAAGACAUGGAAGCAACCUAAACAUCAUCGACAGAGCAAUGGAUAAAGAAGAUGUGGUACCUAUAUGCAAUGGAGUAUUAGACAUAAACAAGAAUGACAUAAUGCCAUUUGCAGCAUGGAUGAACCUAGAGAUUGUCAUAUUAAGUGAAGUUAGAUAUUGAAACACAAACAUCACAUCACUUAUACGUGGAAUCUAAAAAAAGAAAAGUGACGAGACCUGCUCAUCCACUCAGGUCCCAAAGUCAGUGGUGCUGCCGAUUUAAGACAGCAGAGACAAAGAAAUAGAGUGGGGAUCAGGGGGCUACUGCCUUCGAGGGGCAAUAGCAAUCCUCUGAGCCAAGUCAUGAUUUUUAUUUGCUAUUUUCUACUUCCUAGUACGUUCAGAAUCACAGGUGUUAUUUACAAGAGUACUGAUCAAGGCUACAGAUAUGCAAGGCACAGACCCUUUGUAUUCAUAGAUGCUGUAAAUGAUUAACCCUCCAGAGAAAGAUUAUAUUGUUUAUGCUUACGGCUAUUAACGCUCUUUCCUCCAACUCCCUUAGGGUCAUGAGAACAAGAACAUCAAUGGCUUUCCAUCGACAACAUCUGGAGUAUUUAGCAACUUGAUUUCAAGCAGCCACUCAUCCGGUGUACCUUUCCUGUCUCACUCCCUUUCCCCCAGGGGUCUGGGAAAGUCAUAUAUUUUGCAAGCCUAGAUUAGCAUCAUUCUUCAAGCGCCAUCUAGUUUCUUUGCUUCACUAUGCCCUGUAUACAUGCAUAUCUGGCAAGCCUCCAACAAAAAAGGAUACAGACAGAUUUACUUGUAGAACAGAAACAGAUUCACAGACUUUUAAAAACAUAUGGUUACCAAAGGGGACAGGUGGGGGUGGGGAAGGAUGGACUAGCGGCUUUGGGAUGGCAUAUGCACACUGAGGUAAAUGGAAUGAUUGGCCAACAGGGAACAUGCUGUAUAGCACAGAGAACUCCACCCAAUAUUCUGGGAUAAGCUAUGUGGGAAAAGAGUAUGAAAGAGAAUGGAUAUGUGUACAUGUAUAACUGAAUCAAUUUGCUGUAUAGAAAAAAUUAUCACAACAUUGUAAAUCAACUAUACUUCAAUAUAACUUUUAAAAAUCAGGAGAAAAUACUUAAAGGAGGGGAAAAGGUUAGCUAAGCAGGCAUUUGGGAUAGAGCAUUCCAGCCAGAGAAGAGCAAAAGUCUUACAGCAGGAGGAUACCUAGUGCCUUUUAAUAACAGCAUGGGGGCCAAGUAGGGAGUGAGUCAAGAAGGGAAUUGGGGGAGAUGAGUUCAGGAGAGGCCAUUGUACAAAUUUAGAGCCAUUUGGAGCUUUAGGCAGAGAAAGGAGAAGAGGAAGGAUCUGCUUUGAGUUUCAGAAGAAUUACUCCAUUGUGUUUAGAAUUCCCUGUAAGCAUGGAAGUGAUUACAUAACAUAGACACUAAAGCAGUAAUCUGGCUGAGAGAUGAUGAGAUAAUGGACUCAGAGCAGGGUCUUAGCAAAAGAAGUGAUAAAAUCCUAGAGAGAUAUAUGUAUAUAUACACACACUGCAUUUUAGAGCCACACCUGUGCAUAUGGAAGUUCCUGGGCUAGGGAAUGAAUGACAUCUGCAACUGCUGGCCUACACCACAGCCACAGCAACCGCCAGAUCCAAACUGUGUCUGUGACCUACACCACAGCUCACAGCAACUCUGGAUCCUUAACUCAUUGAGCGAGGCCAGGGAUCGAACCCACUUCUGCAUGGAUGCUAAUCGGGUUCAUAACCCACUGAACCACAACAGGAACUCCCUGGAUAUAUUCUGAGGUUGGAGAUAAUAGGAUUUCCUGAAGCACUGGAUAUUGGCUGCUAGUUCUUCAUUUUAUUUUCCGUUUCACAUUGAUGUAUCAGCUUCCUGCGUUGGAAGAUAAGACUUAGGCUUGCUUUUGCAUAAUAUUUUAUUUCUCCUUUCACACACUCACAUAAACACACCUGUUCCCCAAACACCCUAGUAUAAUUAUAUCCUAAUGUUAGAUAAUUCAGAGUUUGUAUUAUAGUGAUAAUAAAGAUGGUUUUCACAGCUA